rnacentral:tRNA from 1 species
GCGAGAGUGGCGAAACUGGCAGACGCGCAGGACUUAGGAUCCUGUGCCCUAAUACGGCGUGUGGGUUCAAGUCCCACCUUUCGCA